CUGGAAUGGAAAAAGCCAGUCGACCAUUCACUGGGUUGAAAACAUUUGGCAAAACUGACCUGGCCAGGCCCAAGGGAGGGCAUAGCUCAGAAAGUUACACCGUCCUCUCUUGACCCUGGAAUCUCCAUUUCAAGUGAUCACCUGUGUGCCAUGUUACACAAAUGGAUAAUCAAUGGAAUGAACUGCCAACAAAAAUGAAAGCGAAGAAAGAAACAAAAGGUGAUAAUUCAGGAAGGAAAAUUCAAAUCGAACGUAAAUUACGUUUAGAAAAUCCAGCUGAGCAUGGGAAUGUUGACAUUGGAGCCACUCUGGUAUAAAACAGCCUCAACCAAAAGAAGAGAGACAGAGGAUGUCAACCACUGAAUCUUUCUAAUAUCUGGACAGACUUCAAAUGACUUUUCGGGUUAUAAGGUGUAUAUAUACAGCUGGCUUGAUUUCUGUGAUCUUAGUUCCCUAACCAGGAAUCAAACCCCUGUGUCCUACUGUGGAAGCGUAGACUCCCAACCACUGGACCACCAGAAGAUUCCCUAAUAGGUAUUUUGCAAGACUUUGAUGACAUAUGGACUUCCCUGGUGGCUCAGAUGGUAAAUCAUCAGCCUGCAAGGCGGGAGACCUGCAUUCGAUCCCUGGGUCAGGAAGAUCCCCUGAAGAAUGAAAUGGCAACCCACUCCAGUACUCUUGCCUGGAAAAUUCCAUGGACGGAGGAGCUUGGUGGGCUACAGUCCAUAGGGUCGCAAAGAGUUGGACACGACUGAGUGACUUUACUUGAUGACACAUCAUGGUAAAGGAAGUGGACAAAGUUUCAGCUGUAUCUCACCCCACUGGCACAUCAACAUGGGAACAUCAAGUCAUAUCAACAUGGAAGCAGAGAAAGUAAAGCCCCUGAAACUGAACUUCAGAGAUACUGGAAAGUUUUCUGAAAGUGUUGUUUUUCAAAAGCUUGAAA
ensembl:lncRNA